AAAUCCACUAUGUCGAGAGUGACAAGCGGGGUUUUUUUGGAAGUCUCUCUCUGUUUUCCUCUCCCUCUCCUCUGCUUGCUCUUUUUCUCCUCUCUCUCAGUGCAGUGGGUGUGAUAGGCCACGCCCAGGAUGACACACAGCUGCAGGCGAUCUCUAAUGAACCACCUGUGGCUCAUUAGUGCAGAGACUUAAACUGUGGCUGCUCUCUGUUUUGAGCCGGAUAGUUAGUCUUGUCAUGAAUACCACUCUGUCUGCUGUCGCUGUACCUGCCUAUUGAUGCCACUCUCUGCCUGCAAUCACCAGCCCUGCAUUACUCGCCUUCCCUGCCUGUGUUCACUACCUGCUCUGUCAUCUGGGAGGAUUCCCCCACCAGUCCAUUCUGCUACAAUUCUCAGAUUCAGAAAUAAACUGUUUAAAC